UGCAGUCGAACGAAGUCCUUCGGGGCUUAGUGGCGCACGGGUGCGUAACGCGUGGGAAUCUGCCCCUUGGUUCGGAAUAACAGUUGGAAACGACUGCUAAUACCGGAUGAUGACGUAAGUCCAAAGAUUUAUCGCCGAGGGAUGAGCCCGCGUAGGAUUAGGUAGUUGGUGUGGUAAAGGCGCACCAAGCCGACGAUCCUUAGCUGGUCUGAGAGGAUGAUCAGCCACACUGGGACUGAGACACGGCCCAGACUCCUACGGGAGGCAGCAGUGGGGAAUAUUGGACAAUGGGCGAAAGCCUGAUCCAGCAAUGCCGCGUGAGUGAUGAAGGCCUUAGGGUUGUAAAGCUCUUUUACCCGGGAUGAUAAUGACAGUACCGGGAGAAUAAGCUCCGGCUAACUCCGUGCCAGCAGCCGCGGUAAUACGGAGGGAGCUAGCGUUAUUCGGAAUUACUGGGCGUAAAGCGCACGUAGGCGGCUUUGUAAGUAAGAGGUGAAAGCCCAGAGCUCAACUCUGGAAUUGCCUUUUAGACUGCAUCGCUUGAAUCAUGGAGAGGUCAGUGGAAUUCCGAGUGUAGAGGUGAAAUUCGUAGAUAUUCGGAAGAACACCAGUGGCGAAGGCGGCUGACUGGACAUGUAUUGACGCUGAGGUGCGAAAGCGUGGGGGAGCAAACAGGAUUAGAUACCCUGGGUAGUCCACGCCCGUAAACGAUGAUAACUAAGCUGUCCCGGACACUUGGUGUUUGGGUGGGCGCAGCUAASGCAUUAAAGUUAUCCCGCCUGGGGGAGUACCGGCCCGCAAGGGUUAAAAACUCCAAAUGGAAUUUGACCGGGGGGCCUUGCACCAAGCGGGUGGAAGCAUGUGGUUUAAUUCGAAGCAACGCGCAGAACCUUACCAGCGUUUGACAUGGCAGGACGACUUCCAGAGAUGGAUUUCUUCCCUUCGGGGACCUGCACACAGGUGCUGCAUGGCUGUCGUCAGCUCGUGUCGUGAGAUGUUGGGUUAAGUCCCGCAACGAGCGCAACCCUCGCCUUUAGUUGCCAUCAUUUAGUUGGGCACUUUAAAGGAACCGCCGGUGAUAAGCCGGAGGAAGGUGGGGAUGACGUCAAGUCCUCAUGGCCCUUACGCGCUGGGCUACACACGUGCUACAAUGGCGGUGACAGUGGGCAGCAAGCACGCGAGUGUGAGCUAAUCUCCAAAAGCCGUCUCAGUUCGGAUUGUUCUCUGCAACUCGAGAGCAUGAAGGCGGAAUCGCUAGUAAUCGCGGAUCAGCAUGCCGCGGUGAAUACGUUCCCAGGCCUUGUACACACCGCCCGUCACACCAUGGGAGUUGGAUUCACCCGAAGGCGUUGCGCUAACUCGUAAGAGAGGCAG
rnacentral:rRNA from 1 species